ensembl:lncRNA
CUGCAGACCCUCCAGGCUGGAGAAGCUGGCGAUGGCGAAGCCGUCAAUGAUGUCCUCCUCUUCUUCAUCUUCAUCCUGAGAGCUCGAGACGCGGCGCUUCCGGCGUGGAGCUCCUCGCGAGCCUCUGGAGGGGAACACUGAGGAGGAGAUGAUGGGAGAUGAAGAUGUAAACGCUGAUGAUGACGUUGAUGAUGUUGUUGAGGAGGAGGACGCGGAUUUCCUGCCCUUAUGGCUCACAGGAGCAGCGGCGGAAGCGGCAGCAGAAGCGGCAGAAGCAGCGGCCCUGCGCUCGCGCUCGGAUCCGGAGGAAGCCGGACUCGGUUCUGUGCGCGUCUCCCGCCGCCGCACGCGCUCCCGGUGCGUACGGGACCUCCGGGUCUGCUUCACUUUCUUCCCUUCCAUUUUGGAUCCUUUUUCCCAUCCACAAAGAGAGAGAGAGAGAGAGAGAGAGAGAGAGAGAGAGAGAGAGAGAGAGAGAGAGAAAGAAGAAGAAGAAGAAGAAGACACAACAAACCCCGCGGCGCGAUCACAGUAACGCACACGCGGCCAUGCGCGACCCCGUGCGUGUUUGUGCGUGAGCGCGUGUGCGUGGAUGAUCCGUGAAUCAGCUACAGUGUGACCUUGGACGCAAAGAGCCGUAAUGCCACCGCGAACACGCCCCCGCUCAGCUGAUCCAUGUGUGUUGUCCAGAUCCAAAAUGGCCGCGCAAACGUGAACAGGUGUAACAUCCAGACUCUGAUUUUAGUUACAGCUCCGCAACUUUGUUGCAAGCGCCAUUAGUGUGUGUGUGAGUGUGUGUGUGUGUGUGUGAGAGAGAGAGAGAGAGGGAGGGAGAGGGAGAGUGUGUGUGCGUGUGUGUGUGCGUGCGUGCGUGUGUGUGUGUGUGUGUGUGUUCAUGUGCCUGUAUGUGUGCGUGAUGUGAGUGUGUGUGUGUGUGUGUGUGUGUGUGCACUGCAGACAGCAAGCAGCGCAGUGCAACCACCAUCCCUCACACCACCCAAAAGCAUGACCCAGCUGUCAGCACACACCGCAGGAAGGAUCUGGGGGGAAAAUAUCCGACUUCGGGAGAAAUCCAGACAAAUCCAGAGUAAAUCCAGAAAAAGAAAAAAGGGGCAAGUUUUAGCAGGUCAGCAGCUCAGCGCGAGUCGAGGAGAAAAACACAGCGCAAAGAAGCCAUCUGUUUCCCCCAAAACACACAGCUCCACAUCCCCACAUCUCCACAUCCUCCACCCGACUACAGCGCACAACCCACUGCGAGCAGACCCGCAAAACCCCGCAAACAUCCGGCGGAGAGGGGGAGAGAGAGAGGGAGAGAGAGAGGGAGAGAGAGGGAGAGAGAGUGAGACAGUUCACUCUGCCAUUCCUGAAACACUGAGCAGGCGCUUUCUGUUUUUUCAGGACGUGCAAAGCGCUUUU